rnacentral:rRNA from 1 species
GACGAACGCUGGCGGCGUGCUUAACACAUGCAAGUCGAACGGAAAGGCCCUGCUUUUGUGGGGUGCUCGAGUGGCGAAAGGGUGAGUAACACGUGAGUAACCUGCCCUUGACUUUGGGAUAACUUCAGGAAACUGGGGCUAAUACCGGAUAGGAGCUCCUGCUGCAAGGUGGGGGUUGGAAAGUUUCGGCGGUUGGGGAUGGACUCGCGGCUUAUCAGCUUGUUGGUGGGGUAGUGGCUUACCAAGGCUUUGACGGGUAGCCGGCCUGAGAGGGUGACCGGCCAGAUUGGGACUGAGAUGCGGCCCAGACUCCUCCGGGAGGCAGCAGCGGGGAAUAUUGCACAAUGGGCUGAAGCCUGAUGCAGUAACGCCGCGUGCGGUAUGACGGCCUUCGGUUUGUAAACCGCUUUCGCCUGUGACGAAGCGUGAGUGACGGUAAUGGGUAAAGAAGCACCGGCUAACUACGUG